rnacentral:rRNA from 1 species
UGCAGUCGAGCGGAAGGCCCUUCGGGGUACUCGAGCGGCGAACGGGUGAGUAACACGUGAGUAAUCUGCCCUUGGCUUUGGGAUAACUACCGGAAACGGUGGCUAAUACCGGAUACGACACAGGUGUGCAUGCGCUCUGUGUGGAAAGUUUUUUCGGCCAGGGAUGUGCUCGCGGCCUAUCAGCUUGUUGGUGGGGUAAUGGCCUACCAAGGCUUCGACGGGUAGCCGGCCUGAGAGGGUGACCGGCCACACUGGGACUGAGACACGGCCCAGACUCCUACGGGAGGCAGCAGUGGGGAAUAUUGGACAAUGGGCGGAAGCCUGAUCCAGCAACGCCGCGUGAGGGAUGACGGCCUUCGGGUUGUAAACCUCUUUCAGUACCGACGAAGCGCCGAUGAUGGUGGUGACGGUAGGUACAGAAGAAGCACCGGCCAACUACGUGCCAGCAGCCGCGGUAAUACGUAGGGUGCGAGCGUUGUCCGGAAUUAUUGGGCGUAAAGGGCUCGUAGGCGGUUUGUCGCGUCGGGAGUGAAAACCCAUGACUUAACUCUGGGCUUGCUUUCGAUACGGGCAGACUAGAGGUAUGCACGGAGAGCUGACUGCUGCUGUAGCGCUGCAUGCGCAGAUAUCAGAGAUCAUCGGUMGCGUGCAGUCUCUGAGCAUACUGACGCUGAGAGCGUAUGUGUGCGGAGCGUACAGAUAGAUAUUCUGUAGUCACACGUACACGAUGGACGCUAGUGUGGGGCUAUCAU